GGUGGGGACCCCUGGCGGGAGCAGACGGCAGAGCGCAGCAGUGGAGGGAGCAAGAAGGGCCCCCUGCGAUGAGGAACGAGAUGGCGGUGGACAGAGGCAGGAUUCGGUCGUGCCCCCAGCUUUUUUUAAAUUGAAGCGAAAGACUCAGAAAUCGUGAAAUGUAUGGGACAGCCUGGAAGCUCCACUUUGAACUGCUGCUGCCAGAGAAGGAUGGUGGGAAAGAGCCACCAUCCAGACGGGUUCCCUGGCUCUGCGCACUCGCCUGGGGGAGGCCUCCUUUUCCCUGGUCCUAAAACGCUUUCCCGAUAGGGGAGGCAGGGAUCUGUGUUGCCAGCGCCCUCUGAGACCCGGGAUGAGCGUGUGAAGGCUGCCAGCAGGCACGUGGCAGCCCCUUGGUGUGUCAGCUGCUUCUCCAGGGUCCCACUGAGUGCCCAUUCGGCCUUGACUUGAGCACUCCUGCCUCCCGUUAGACCUCCAGAUGGUAUAGUGACCUCCGCCGGGGACAUCUCCGGACCACAAAAGGUACAGAAGAAGCAGAGGAAGGACCCUAUCCUUGUCCUCAGAGCUAAGGGGCCGAAAGCUGUGGGAGGAAACACGGACCCACUGUCCCCGUCGGGGAUGGGGAAGGCUCCCUUCCUCCCUGCGGCACCUGCUGGACGGACGUCUCAGCCUAGGACAGGGCCGCAUCCCUUCAGUCCGCACAGCCCCUGGCUGCCACGCUGUGCCGAGCCCUGCCCUUGAGAACCUGUUUCCAGUUCCAGCUCUCCACAGGCCCCCUCAUCUAGGCUGGUCCCGGGUCAAAUCGAAGGAAGGAAUGGAGGCUGCACCCUGAGAAACCCUGGGACACCCUUCCAGAACAUACAUUGCCUAGGCUGUCUACUGCUCCUAGCUUUCCCCAAAGGCGUGUGUUUCUUCUGCGCCCAGCUCACCCUUGCUCCGUCCAGGUAGCAGGUGUCUCUCUGUGUAGGUGAAGUUGCAGAAGGGACGAGCCAGAGGGGGCUGUGAUUCCGAAACCUCUGCUCACUUCCCCCAAGGCUCUCUGGGGCUCAAAAUUAGGUAGCAUUAAGACCCUCAGGAUAAUUUAUGUUUGCACUGAAUUUAAAACAGAACAAAGGUAGGAACUACACUUUUUGGGUGGCUGCGCCUUGCAAAUGUAUUCGGAUGCAGGUUUGUGAGCAGCGCCAUGGCCGACAGAACCACAGGCAGGCGGCAGGUCUCCUGCAGCCUCCCCCACGGUGCAGGGGCGCCUUUCCGGCUCCUCUAAGAAGCGCUGCUGAAGCCACGCCCUGGCUUAGCGCGGAGGAGGAGCCACCGUGGGGCACCGUGGGGAGCGAGGCCUGAGCCCCGCCUCCCCAGUCACCGAGCACUUCCUGUCCCUGCUCAGUAAUCAAGCACAGACUUCAGAUCUUGGCAUCUCAGUCUGAACUCCUUAAAAGCCAGGUAUUUUAAAAGAAACGUUUUAAGGCAAAUUGGUACCUAUUUCCAGCCCACCUUUCUGUAGUGCAAGAACUGUCUCCAAACCUCCUAAAUAAAUCUUCCAGACAAAA
ensembl:lncRNA novel transcript